rnacentral:lncRNA from 1 species
CUAGCAAUCUACCAUGCGCGUCGCGAUUACUCUGUAGCAUCAGGGAGGGGAUAAAGGACUCGAAUUCACCCUGUUAUGUCCUGACACUUGUUCAUUCUCUUCUGUAGUUGCCUCCUGGAGAGUGAAGGAAACUGAAAGAAUGGUCGCGAUCCGGACCGAGCUGACGAAGGUAAUUAUACACAUGUCUCCUGUUCUUAUAUCUCAGCCUCCUGUUGCAUCCCAGAUGCUUUUAUCUUAUCUGUCCUGUGUCCUGUGCCAUAUAGCUGGGAGCAACGGUGGAGGAAGGCCCGGACUACUGCAUCAUUACGCCACCGGAGAAGCUGAACGUCACGGCCAUCGACACCUACGACGACCACCGGAUGGCGAUGGCCUUCUCCCUGGCGGCCUGUGCCGAGGUACCAGUCACCAUCAGGGACCCCGGGUGCACCCGCAAGACGUUCCCCAACUACUUUGAUGUGCUAAGCACCUUCGUGAAGAACUAGGCUGGGAAAAUCAACAACGAAUUGCGCUUGUACUUUGUAGCCUGUCCAUGGUUUGAGGAAAUUUUGUCUUAGUCUUGUCGCGAGAUGGUGUAUGAGUCUGUAAUAUUAGUUUUGUAGCGUGUGCACCUUGAGGUAAAAUGAAAUGUAUUGCACACUGUUUUCGUUUUUUUGAAUAAGAAAUAAGUUACCGUUCUGUGAUCUAGGAGUAGAUGCAAAUGCUGCUGGUCGAGGGGGAUCUUUAGCAUGCAAGCUAUAUGAAAGGGGGUAGCAUUCCCUAAUGCAUGAAAUAUAAUUACUCAAACCUAAAUGAAAUAGUUCAGGUAUGGAUCUCAACACGAGAUCCUAUGGAGGGAGAGCGCGCUAUCGGCAUAGAAGAUCAGUGCUCAUUGUUUUUUUUUUUUGAAAUGGUGCUCAUUGUUGUUGAUUGUGCGUUAGGCAUGCUAUGGAAGCUUACUUAGUAUGGCAUUUCAACAGAUACUACUAAUGUGCUGGGCGAAAUAGUUGGUGUAAACAAGUGGGCCCAGUUUGUGUUGCGAAAGGAACAAUUACAUCAUGUGAUGAAAAAUUCCUAUCCUACAUAAAGCAAACACUGUAGCGCACAUGUCGGGAUGUGUGUAUUUCGGGUUAGUGAGUGUCGCGCCAUUGUUCAGCAGGGACUAUAUUUGUCUUCCAUCGCGACUUGCCCGCAAAGGUCUAUUCCAGUCCGGAAUAAUCACUGUCCUCGUCACUGAAGUGAGCUCUAAGAAUUGGACUGGUUAACAUACUCCACUUAAUUAUCGUAAAAUCAUUCCUGAUGCCUUCCAAGCCUACACACUUUAUAAUGAUCACUUUCGCCUGUCUUUUGUUGUCAGAGGAAAUAGGAACCAGAACUAAGAGGCACACGAGAGAUUGAUCUCCGUCCAUCGUUGCCAAAGGAAAUUGAAAUUGGAGUCAGGAGGCACGGGAGAGACUGGUAUUUAUUUGUUGGGUAUGGUGACAUGAAGGUGCCUCGCUGGCCCACCGCAUUGCAUAUCUUUUGUGUGCUUUCAGUAAUAUUUUAGCACAUGGGCUACAUAUCUCUAGUCAGCUUUGAUUUGCUAUCUUCACUUUCACAUUUAUGCGUAGUAAAAUCAUAUAUUCGCCACAUCAUAGGCUCUCAUCGGUUCCACUCCUCCACGGCCAAAUCACAUGUCCUCAAACAGGCUACAAAAUCUGGUAUGUAGGGCAACCACAUAGCAUGGCUUCCAUGGACGACACCAACACACAAAGAUGUGAAAUCAUGAGCAAGUUUACUACAAUCAUGAGGGUAACUCACCCUAAUGGUUUGAUUGACUUGAAUGGACCAUUGUAGGAAUCCUCAUCCAAUGUAUGAAUCCCCUGGAGGAAAUGGGGGAAACAAAUCGAAAGUGAGGAAACAAAUCCAAUUAGUUAUUUUGAUAGAAGCAGUCAUAGUAUCGAGGGGGAGUGUAUCACUUCACUCAUGAAGUUAACACAAGUGAGGAUUCAUUUAUAUUAUUCACAUAAUUCAAAAGAGUAAUGUCGUUUUCUCGAGGAAAACUAGCCUUCUCACUCUCGAUACAUAUGCAUCUGAGAUUCUUCUCUACAUUCUUGCAUUGAGAUGCCACAACUCUUUCCCAGGGAAUUGGGUCAAUAUGCUGGCUAGGGAAAACAAGCUAUAUCAUAUCAUAUAGAUAAGGAAGAAUGGAGUUAUUGAGCUCUUUGCACACAUCCAGUAUAAUUCAUUUCUGAUCCAUUGCGUAAAAGGGUGUCAUGUUCUCUUUACAAUGAGGGUGAUCCCCCAUCCAUGUUUGCAUAAGAAAAGAUUUGUUGUAACCUUAUCUUCCUCAAUCUGUUUCUCCUGUUGCACCCCUUGGUGCUUAAUCUGACCUGUCUUGUGCCCUAUAGCUGGGAGCAACGGUGGAGGAAGGCCCGGACUACUGCAUCAUCACGCCGCCGGAGAAACUGAAUGUCAUGGCGAUCGACACCUAUGACGACCACCGGAUGGCGAUGGCCUUCUCCCUGGCGGCCUGCACCGAGGUGCCAGUCACCAUCAGGGACCCCGGGUGCACCCGAAAGACCUUCCCCAACUACUUUGAUGUGCUAAGCACCUUC